GCUUGUCAGGGGGCUGUGAGUAACUGGCCAUAAACUGCAUUACAACCUGAUUACAAAACGCAUUCCCAAGACAUCCAGUUUCUUCUCCAACACGUAAAGUGCUUGGAAAUCAUCAUUCUUGUCCUGACAACAACAACAACAACAAAAAAGCCAAACAAACUGAAAUCAACAACUCCUCUUAGCUGCCAUAGAGAAUUGAGGUCACAAGGCAGAUGGCCAUCCCCAAAGCCUGGGAGACGGUAAGGUGAUACAGAGAAUUACAGUCCACUGGGAUCAGAGUUGCUGGAACUUCUGACAGAGUGCAAACAACAAGCGAAACAUACAUGGAGUGCACUGGAGACAUCCACGCUAGCGAUGUGGGUGUCCGCCCAGGAGGAGCCAGCUCACCUCCUCCAAGGCUCGCCUCUUCUCACAAGCUUCCGUUUGGCUGCUUUCCUCUUGAAGCAUUCCCUGAGUCUCCACACCUGAGUAUCACUCCUUCUGCUGAAACCCCCAAAACUGACCAGCAACCAGCAAAGCCUUCCGGCGCUGAGGUUUUUAAAUGUCAGGAUUCUGGAAAAGACGGGAAAUGAAGACUCGGAGGAGCCCGAGUUGCAUGGAAGCUGCUCUGCCCUCCCUCCUCCAUGACCUCAGUGUACAGCAAGGAGCACAGGAGGAGACAGUGAGGACAAACUUGGCCGGACCCUGGGGCCCUCUGCCCUUCUUGAGGGCCAGUCCCUGCUCCACCAGCUGCAUCAACUUCCCCUUCUGUCACUGUGGCUGCAGCAGGGACUGCCACCAGCUUUCAGAAUCAGAACUAGUGCUGACAGCAUCAUUUAAAAAUAAAAUAAGACUUGGAACUCCUUUAUGCUGAGAUCGUGGAAUUUUCCCAAGCCGCCUGCAGGACGGAACAAUCAAAAUUCAUCCUUAAUAGCAUUUUGCAGGAUGCUGCCCCUGGAGAGGUUCUCCCCACCCAAGCUGGGGGUGAUUCUUGUGUGCAUUCUGUCGCCUUCCUCAGCCCACCAACCUCCUGCCUCAGGGAGGCUCAGCUUCAGCUAGGCCCCUGAUCCCCUUCCUGCCUCUGCUGGAAGCUGUCUGGAUCCUGGCCAUUCUGAGAGGGGAAACUCGUCCCUGGGAAGGGGAAGAGAAUACACAGGCACACUCAGAAUCAGCUUCCCUCCCUCUCCCCAUGCCCGUUUUAGAGUAAAACGUGGUGAGAAAAGACAGAAAAAGAAGAAAAAGGAAAAUGCAAGCAGCCAGUGAACUUAAUUCCAUAAGAACUAGAAGGAUAGAGAUGUUAAUGAGUGGAGAGGGAGAGAGAGCCAGGAGGGAGGCUCCAGAGCAACACGCAACACAGUGAUGACAUUCAGAACUCAGACCGGUAGGUGAUUACGCGUGUGCAUUACAUAAACGCAUUUUAAAAACCGGAAGGAAGGAUACACUUCAAACUUCUAAGAGCACUGUUUCUGGAGAGGGACAUGAAAUCAGAAAUGGGA
rnacentral:lncRNA from 1 species